GAUGAAGAACGUAGCGAAAUGCGAUACUUGGUGUGAAUUGCAGAAUCCCGUGAACCAUCGAGUCUUUGAACGCAAGUUGCGCCCGAAGCCACUAGGCCGAGGGCACGCCUGCCUGGGCGUCACACGUCGUUGCCCCCCCAUCUACUCCUUCGGGAUUGCGGGGGGGCGGAUGAUGGCCUCCCGUGCGCCUAGCCGCGCGGUUGGCAUAAAUACCAAGUCCUCGGCGACGCACGCCACGACAAUCGGUGGUUGCGAAACCUCGGUUGCCCGUCGUGGGCGUUCGUCGCGCAUCGAGGGCUCGAAAAAAUGCUCGGCUCCGGCUGGGCUUUCAACGCGACCCCAGGUCAGGCGGGGUUACCCGCUGAAUUUAAGCAUAUCAAUAAGCGGAGGA
rnacentral:misc_RNA from 1 species